rnacentral:rRNA from 1 species
UACGUAGGGUGCGAGCGUUAAUCGGAAUUACUGGGCGUAAAGCGUGCGCAGGCGGUUUUGUAAGCCAGAUGUGAAAUCCCCGGGCUCAACCUGGGAAUGGCAUUUGGGACUGCAAGGCUUGAGUGCGGCAGAGGAGACUGGAAUUCCUGGUGUAGCAGUGAAAUGCGUAGAUAUCAGGAGGAAUACCGAUGGCGAAGGCAGGUCUCUGGGCUGACACUGACGCUGAGGCGCGAAAGCUAGGGUAGCAAACGGG